UACAGAAGCCUCGAGCGUUACCCGGAUUUACUGGGCGUAAAGGGUGCGUAGGCGGUUAUAUUAGUCUUGUGUUAAAUCUUCAGGCUCAACCUGAAGCUCGCGCGGGAAACGGUAUAACUAGAAGAAGUGAGAGGUGAACAGAACUCUCGGUGUAGGGGUGAAAUCCGUUGAUAUCGAGGGGAAUACCAAAUGCGAAGGCAGUUCACUGGCACUUUCUUGACGCUGAGGCACGAAAGCGUGGGUAGCGAACGGG
rnacentral:misc_RNA from 1 species